rnacentral:tRNA from 1 species
GGGCUCUUAGCUCAGUUGGUUAGAGUAUCUCCUUGACAUGGAGGGGGUCACUGGUUCGAAUCCAGUAGGGCCCACCA